AGAGUUUGAUCCUGGCUCAGGAUGAACGCUAGCGACAGGCUUAACACAUGCAAGUCGAGGGGCAGCAUGAUUUGUAGCAAUACAGAUUGAUGGCGACCGGCGCACGGGUGAGUAACGCGUAUGCAACUUACCUAUCAGAGGGGGAUAGCCCGGCGAAAGUCGGAUUAAUACCCCAUAAAACAGGGGUCCCGCAUGGGAAUAUUUGUUAAAGAUUCAUCGCUGAUAGAUAGGCAUGCGUUCCAUUAGGCAGUUGGCGGGGUAACGGCCCACCAAACCGACGAUGGAUAGGGGUUCUGAGAGGAAGGUCCCCCACAUUGGUACUGAGACACGGACCAAACUCCUACGGGAGGCAGCAGUGAGGAAUAUUGGUCAAUGGACGAGAGUCUGAACCAGCCAAGUCGCGUGAAGGAAGACGGAUCUAUGGUUUGUAAACUUCUUUAGUGCGGGAACAAAGCGGCGUCGUGACGCCGGAUGAGUGUACCGCAAGAAUAAGCAUCGGCUAACUCCGUGCCAGCAGCCGCGGUAAUACGGAGGAUGCGAGCGUUAUCCGGAUUUAUUGGGUUUAAAGGGUGCGUAGGUGGUGAUUUAAGUCAGCGGUGAAAGUUUGUGGCUCAACCAUAAAAUUGCCGUUGAAACUGGGUUACUUGAGUGUGUUUGAGGUAGGCGGAAUGCGUGGUGUAGCGGUGAAAUGCAUAGAUAUCACGCAGAACUCCGAUUGCGAAGGCAGCUUACUAAACCAUAACUGACACUGAAGCACGAAAGCGUGGGGAUCAAACAGGAUUAGAUACCCUGGUAGUCCACGCAGUAAACGAUGAUUACUAGGAGUUUGCGAUACAAUGUAAGCUCUACAGCGAAAGCGUUAAGUAAUCCACCUGGGGAGGAACAGGGUCGGACUUUGUCGGAAGCGGAGAAGACGAAAAAUAAAUUCAACCUAAAUAAUUAGCAGUAUGAUUAUCACAUUUAAUGAGUUGCGUCGUAUCAAGGACAGACUGCCCAGCGGCAGCUCGCAACGGAUUGCAGACGAAUUGGGAAUCUCGGUCGAUUCGGUUCGUAAUUAUUUCGGCGGACGGCACCCCGAGGCGAAGGAAGGCGUAGGCAUUCAUAUCGAACAAGGGCCCGACGGCGGCGUUGUGACGUUGGACGAUACGACGAUCCUGGAUGCGGCGAUGCGUAUUCUGAAUGAAAAAUAGGAUCGGAAUCCCCGAUUAUGGUACCCCGGCUCCAGAGGCCGGGGUUUUCUGUUGCAUUCCGUAUCGUCGUGCGGAUCGGGGGCAGGCAGGCUGCGAAAUGACAGCGAUGUCCGAAAGGGAGUUUCGGGCUGACAUUGUGACAGUCGGAAUGUCAGUCCUUCCGGCGGUU
rnacentral:rRNA from 1 species